UUGACCUCAGAUCAGGUAGGAAUACCCGCUGAACUUAAGCAUAUCAAUAAGCGGAGGAAAAGAAACCAACAGGGAUUGCCCUAGUAACGGCGAGUGAAGCGGCAACAGCUCAAAUUUGAAAUCUGGCGCAAGCCCGAGUUGUAAUUUGUAGAGGAUGUUUCUGGCGAAGUGCCUUCCGAGUUCCCUGGAACGGGACGCCAUAGAGGGUGAGAGCCCCGUACGGUUGGAUGCCUAGCCUCUGUGAAACUCCUUCGACGAGUCGAGUAGUUUGGGAAUGCUGCUCUAAAUGGGAGGUAUACGUCUUCUAAAGCUAAAUACCGGCCAGAGACCGAUAGCGCACAAGUAGAGUGAUCGAAAGAUGAAAAGCACUUUGAAAAGAGGGUUAAAAAGUACGUGAAAUUGUUGAAAGGGAAGCGUUCAUGACCAGACUUGGGCAGGUUGAUCAUCCGUGGUUCUCCGCGGUGCACUCUGCCUGCCCAGGCCAGCAUCAGUUCGCCCCGGGGGAUAAAGGUUUCGGGAAUGUGGCUCCUCCGGGAGUGUUAUAGCCCGUUGCGCAAUACCCUGGGGCGGACUGAGGUUCGCGCUCCGCAAGG
rnacentral:rRNA from 1 species